GAAUUCUUACCGCAUAGAGUUGAUGGUAAAGAUAAUGGUGAUAAAGAAAAGCAAGAAGUGUCUGAUAAAUCUGCGUUUGUUGAUAAUCAGAUAUCAAUGGAGGAUUCAGAUGUCGUUUUUACUGAUUCUGAAUUGGCUAGACUUGACGAGCAACUUGUUUCUAUAUAUAGUACUCGUGAGGCUGAUUUGUGAAUGUAGCUUCAUUUGAAGAUUAUCCGUGCCCUUUUAUGGAUAAUGAGUAUAGCUUGCUAGAUGCUUAUAAAGAUUGUGAAAUUUUUAAUUGGGUUGAACAAGGAUUUAAUAAGA